rnacentral:rRNA from 1 species
GUGUCAGCAGCCGCGGUAAGACGAACCGUGCGAACGUUGUUCGGAUUCACUGGGCUUAAAGGGCGCGUAGGCGGUUGCUCCAGUCCGGGGUGAAAGCUUUCGGCUUAACCGGAAAAGUGCCUUGGAUACUGAGCAACUCGAGGGAGGUAGGGGCAGGUGGAACUUCCGGUGGAGCGGUGAAAUGCGUUGAUAUCGGAAGGAACGCCGGUGGCGAAAGCGACCUGCUGGACCUCUUCUGACGCUGAGGCGCGAAAGCCAGGGGAGCAAACGGGAUUAGAUACCCCGGUAGUCCUGGCCCUAAACGAUGGGUACUAGGUAGUGGACUUAACAUGGGUUCCCUGCCGAAGCUAAAGUGGUAAGUACCCCGCCUGGGGAGUAUGGUCGCAAGGCUGAA